rnacentral:miRNA from 1 species
UACCCCGCCGGCUGGAAGGGUUUCCUUCCAGUCGACAAGGUACAUGUACCUCGUCAACCGGAAGGAUUUCCUUCCAGUCGACUGGCGAGGUACAUGUACCCCGCCGGCUGGAAGGGUUUCCUUCCAGUCGACAAGGUACAUGUACCUCGUUGACUGGAAGGAUUUCCUUCCAGCUGUCAAGGUA